CAGUCGAACGGACUUACAUUGAAGCCUAGCGAUAUGUAAGUUAGUGGCGGACGGCUGAGUAACGCGUGGGUAACCUGCCUUGUACUGGGGGACAACAGUUGGAAACGACUGCUAAUACCGCAUAAGCGCACAGCUUCGCAUGAAGCAGUGUGAAAAACUCCGGUGGUACAAGAUGGACCCGCGUCUGAUUAGCUGGUUGGUGAGGUAACGGCCCACCAAGGCGACGAUCAGUAGCCGGCCUGAGAGGGUGAACGGCCACAUUGGGACUGAGACACGGCCCAAACUCCUACGGGAGGCAGCAGUGGGGAAUAUUGCACAAUGGGGGAAACCCUGAUGCAGCAACGCCGCGUGAGUGAAGAAGUAUUUCGGUAUGUAAAGCUCUAUCAGCAGGAAAGAAAAUGACGGUACCUGACUAAGAAGCCCCGGCUAACUACGUGCCAGCAGCCGCGGUAAUACGUAGGGGGCAAGCGUUAUCCGGAUUUACUGGGUGUAAAGGGAGCGUAGACGGUUUUGCAAGUCUGAAGUGAAAGCCCGGGGCUUAACCCCGGGACUGCUUUGGAAACUGUAGAACUAGAGUGCAGGAGAGGUAAGUGGAAUUCCUAGUGUAGCGGUGAAAUGCGUAGAUAUUAGGAGGAACACCAGUGGCGAAGGCGGCUUACUGGACUGUAACUGACGUUGAGGCUCGAAAGCGUGGGGAGCAAACAGGAUUAGAUACCCUGGUAGUCCACGCCGUAAACGAUGAUUACUAGGUGUUGGUGGGUAUGACCCAUCGGUGCCGCAGCAAACGCAAUAAGUA
rnacentral:rRNA from 1 species